CUUUUUGAUUAUAAUUUAAGGUCUGGCCUGCCCAAUGAGGAUUUAAAUGGCCGCGGUAUUUUGACCGUGCAAAGGUAGCAUAAUCAUUAGUUUUUUAAUUGAAAGCUUGCAUGAAAGGUUGGAUGAGAAAAUAGUUGUCUCUAUUUAAAUUAAUUAGAAUUUUAUUUUUAAGUAAAAAAGCUUAAAUUAAAUUGGAAGACGAGAAGACCCUAUAGAGUUUUAUUUAUUUAUAUAUUAAGAUUUUUAGUAUUUAUUUUUUUAUUAUAAUUAAUAAAUUUAGUUGGGGUGAUUAAAAAAUUAAAUAAACUUUUUUUUUACUUUUACAUUAAUUUAUGGUUGUUUGAUCCUUAUUUUAAGAUUAAAAGAUAAAAUUACCUUAGGGAUAACAGCGUAAUUUUUUUAAAGAGUUCAAAUCGAAAAAAAAGAUUGCGACCUCGAUGUUGGAUUAAAAUAAAAUUUUGGUGUAGAAGCUAAA
rnacentral:rRNA from 1 species